CUGCAGACCUGGAAGAGGUAGCUCAGAAAUGUGGCUUGUCUUACAAGGCCCUGGUUGCCCUGAGGCGGGUGCUGCUGGCUCAGUUCUCGGCUUUCCCCGUGAAUGGCGCUGAUCUCUACGAGGAACUGAAGACCUCCACUGCCAUCCUGUCCACUGGCAUUGGCAGACAUGGAGGGCGCACUCAAGUGGGAACCUGGGAGGACUGCAGCUGCCUCAGGUCCCCGCAGGGAGAUCGUGGAGUGGGGUCAGGAAUGCUCUGAAGAAGGCAGGACUUGGGCAUGGAGGAACAGAUGGACUUUCGCUGAAUGCUUUCGAUGAACGAGGCACUGCGGUCAGCACUUCACGGCAGAAGCUCUCCGGAGGAUCCAGGUGGUGCAUGCAUUUGA
rnacentral:lncRNA from 1 species